CCUCUUCAUCCCUCCCCCUGCACCCGCAUUUAACUGUCCUCUCCUCUGCCGCUCCACCCACCCACCUCCCUCUGCCUCUUCCGCUUCUUCCAUUUCUAAACCCCCAAAUUAUCUUCCUUCUAUAAAUUCUCUACACCCAAAAUUUGUACGCACCGUUUUGUUUUGGGCAGGCCGGGAGAUUUAGGGAUUUGGCCUCACUCUUUGGCGUGUUUGGGAUUAGAGCGGAUCAUACGAUAUUGGACCCUGAGAUCUUGAUUUCUCUUGUUUUUUGAGUGAUUUUGAGAUCCUUGGCGUUGGAGUUUUGGUUGGUGAUUAGCGGACGGAGAGGUUUGAAGAGUUUGGGGAGUGGGUGUAUGGAAUGCUGCAUAAUGUGAUGGCUUGGCGUAUUUAUGUUGUGCACACUUAAACCAUUUUCUAGAGCUUUAUUGUCACCAGAAGUAUCAUUUUCGGAAAGCUCUCCUUAUUGUAGGUACUUUCUCUUAGCUUUAUGAAAUUUUAAGUUGAUUGUACAAAAUAGAAAUAGUAACUUAUCUUUUCACUAAGCAAGUGGUGCUUUGACACACUCACCUGCUAAAAUCACGCCUUAAAAAGAUUGGAUCUUUCAUUAUACCAUGGUGUACCACUUUUGCCUAUGAUAGCUAGCUGUUAGUUAUUAUGAAGUCUUAUAUAAUAUAUUGAAGAAACUACAUGAGUUUAAAUAUUUGAAGGCCAAGUAAAUAUUAACAAUUAAUCUAAAAUUUCUAAGGCAACAACAGAGAAAAGCAGACAAAAACCUCUACCAACCUCAUUCAUUAGACACAAGAAAACAAUAUAACAGAGGAGAAAAUGAUGUAACACAAGCAACAAGUUCAUCUCAUGUAAAAAGACACAGAACCACUCCACACUUCAUAUACACUAUCACCAGUUCAGAUUAACCAAUUGAAGGAUUUAGAUUGAUUAGUCUUAUUUGAUUUGAUUUCCUUUAUCAUCUGAAUUCAAUAUGUGAAUUGGUUGAUUUGAUAUUACUUGAGGGUUUUUCUUUCUUCUACAACAUUCAUUGUUUUUAAUUAGGAAUCAAAAGAAAUUUGCUAAAUUUAAUACAUUAUACGAUGAGCCAUAUCUGUAGGUAUGAUCUGGUUUAUCUCAUUCAGAUAUUUUAGUUUUUUAGAAUUCUAUGUAUGCAUAUUUCUAAUUUUUGCUUGAGAGGUUGGUACAAACUGCGAAGGAGGAUAAUGAAAGGUUCUUGCUAAAGCUCAAGAGUUGAAUGGAGCGGUAAAUAUUAAAUUUUGAAUUAAGUUUUGUUUGUUUUUUGGUUUGUUUGAUUAAUUGGGUAAUUUUUUGGUGUUUUUGGGCUUGGUAUUGAUAAUCCAACGAUAUAUUGAGGUCCGAUUUGAGCAUUUGAGCAUUGAUGCAAAGGCAGUUGUGGGGAAUCGAGGACAAACCUGAACAACAUCGAAGACAACACCAAAGGUUGAAGUAAAUGGAAAGGAGACUACUACUCUUUAUAAGUUCUUGAAAUCAAAGAAAGGAGGUUUUUUGGUGAUGACAUCAAGUGGAAUUUCACUAAGUUCUUUGUGGACAAAGAUGGAAAAGUCAUGAAAAGAUAUACAUUGACAACCUCACCUUUAAAAAUGGAGGAAUUUAAGUGCCUUCUUUGAGGGACUAUAUUGUCGGUAAUGCGAGUAUGUGAUCUUAUGUAUGCAUAAAGGGAUGCUUCUUCUAGAAAACUUGUAUAUUGCUGGAAAUUCAUUAACUUCUUGUUGUAUAUAAGAAAUAUUAUUUAUUUUUAAUUAUUGGAUUUCAACAAUAAAGUUAUGUUUGCAAGCUAUCAUGUUGACUCU